UCAUGGCGGCUUCCGAGUUUGUCGUUGAACCAGCGCGAAGUUCAAGCUACGUGCUUAUUUGCGGCAAGCACUCUUCCUCGCAAUAAAUCUGCUCUUCAGUGACGACAGUGAUGAACACAAACGUUCACAGGUUCAUAGAGCACCUCGUGUCAAGGACGGAAAGAACUCCAAGACAACCCCAUUAAGAUGCACAUCACAAGAAUUCACCACUGAAGAUUAAAUUGGACCAAACAUGUCAGCAGCAAAAACAACAUUGUAAACCAAACCAAGGUAUCAAACAUGACGAGUAGGACGCCUGGGUGCCCUUUGAAUUCCAAGUUUUCUGGUGUUGUCUUACAAGGUUUCCGAAAUACAGUGUGCUGCGUUCUGCCAGGGAACGUGCUGUUCGAAGAAGUAGUUGGAGGGCUACGGACGGUGACCACCUCUGUUCCAUUCAGUUUGAAGAACGCUGCUUCGACACAACUGGGCAGAAUAUCACACUGCUGUCUGGCAGUGCACCUUCGAUUUUUCCUGCUUUCCGAGCGCAUCUGCAAAAACCUGUUAGUUUCUACUUCCUUGACGUAGCUUCAAUAGAAUGUAGUGACGAAAAUAAGCAAUUGCAUCUAAAAGAAAAUAAGACACCUUUGAAAUUCAUUCUAUCUUGCCGACGAAACCAAAACCAAAACACCGAUAGACCAAGUUGUCGAAAUGAGUGAGUGGAGUUAUAUCAAACAUCGUGAUACCUCGUUUCUAGGCUUUGAAUGCUGCGCUUGCCAUGACAACACACGUCGCCAACUGAAGUUGACGAAUAUUAUUUAGAACUAACGCCACUGCGAUCGUUCUUAUGAUCGGUUUAUUUGGGGUACGUCUCCUGGAGUUGGUCGGUUGCACGCGACAACGAUCGGUGCUUUGGUUUGGUUCCGCCUGUAACUUGGUUAGAAUUCGAUAACUCUAGAAAAAUUACUGGUGACUCUCAGUUUAUCUAAUUACCUCUCUUUUCCAGCUUUAGCUUUAAUUAUUUGAACUUCCUUAUAUAUUCUCUAAAAAUCAGCUGACACACACAAGCGCAUACAUAAAAGAGGCGAGCAAAUGUCGCGUUCCCCUUGAUCUUGAGUAUCUGCAGGCACAUUUCUUAAAACACCCAAUAUAUACUAAAACCUUUUUGUACCGCAAUAGUGCGCCAGCAAGCUCGAUAUGCGAAGCAUUCCUUGACCAUACACAUUAAUCUGAAAGCGUGCAGCUGACAAUGGGUGCAUGAAAUAAUUUGUUUCAUAAACAGGAAUAGCCAUUUAUUCGUUGGUGUAACUUAAAAAUGGUUUUUAUCUCAUUUUUUUAUCGUGGAACUGCAAAUCAAGGCGCACAACGUGCGUAUUCCAUUGCAGUCUAAGGCGGUUUCGCCCUGUUUUUCCUCUAGCAAUUUGGCUGCUGGCGGCUUAAUUCAUUUUCUCUCGUUGGCGGCGGCCGGGACUGCCACUCCAGACGUUCUAUAAGACCACCUUGCUUCACAACGAGUGACAUCAUUUAUGUGAAUGGUGCUGUACCUGUUGUGCCCUAACGCUCUCGAGUCUUGAACAAAUAUUCUGGUGAGCGCUAACCUUUAAAUGGCACAAAAACGAGUCAACGCAUGCACGCACCGCACAUUAAAGCGCUUUGGCGGCUGCAGCGAUGAGGGUUAGUUGUAGCGCCAUAUCGUGCUGCGGCACUUUUGAGAACUAAAAAAGUUAAACAAGCAAACCUGGCGACAUGUGGAGUGGUGGCAUGAGCCGGUCAUAAGUUUAUAAAGCAGGUUGUGGCCCGGACUAAGGAGCCCACUCCUUCCUCGGUCGCAAAUAAAUGUUUUAUUCUCUCUCUCACCAUCGCCGCUCGCAAGACUAGCAAGGAUGUGCUCGGGCGCCCAAUCUGUGUGUGCGUUUAUUUACAUUUAAACGGGUGGGAAACAUUAAAUACAUACCUGCAACAUAUCUCAGCCACUGGCGCUUCUUCUGUGCUUGCUACAAAACAUGCGAAUGGGGCAUGCUCACGGAUGAAGUAAAAAACUUGGGAGAGGCUCUGCCCAGCCAACCAUGUAAUGUCCAGUAGACAUCAAAUAAAUAUCGACCAUAUG